CUCACCUGGGCUCAGGCAGGGCCACCCGCCCAGGUGCAGCUUGCUGCAAAUUGCUUUACGUAACAGUGACCCAAAGAACAAGUAAUUUCAGGGCCCCACGACUCUGACUGGAAGUCAUAAGCGUGACAACUGAUCGGCCUCUGUCACCCAAGGGGGUGUGGGGACACUAGGCCCACAGGCGCCACUGGAAGAGGUAGGUGUUCACAAGCACUGCAGUGCUCCCGCUCCUGGAUGCAGCUGUCUCCGCACAAACCGAAACAAUUUCGAGAGAGACGUGUGUUCUGCAACCAGCCACAGAAUAACAGGUGAGCUGGGCGUGUCUUCACUGACCCACCCGCCCAGGGAUGCUGCACUCCUCCACCCUGCUCAGGAUCACUGCAAUGACCGUUCUGUGGCUACAGCCCUAAAAGAGCUACUAAAAAGACCAGAAGUCGUAUGAGAACUUAGGAAUACAAAUAUAAAUAAAGGACAUCUGGAGAACAUG